rnacentral:rRNA from 1 species
CUAAAGAUACUGCCCCGGUUAACGGGGAGGAAGGUGGGGAUGACGUCAAGUCCUCAUGGCCUUUAUGCCCAGGGCUACACACGUGCUACAAUGGGCGGUACAAAGGGUAGCGAUCCCGCGAGGAGGAGCCAAUCCCAAAAAACCGUCCCAAGUUCGGAUUGGAGUCUGCAACUCGACUCCAUGAAGUUGGAAUCGCUAGUAAUCGCGGAUCAGCAUGCCGCGGUGAAUACGUUCCCGGGCCUU